UACAGGGGUCUCAAGCGUUGUUCGGAUUCAUUGGGCGUAAAGGGUGCGCAGGCGGUCGGGUGUGUCAGAUGUGAAAUCCCGAGGCUCAACCUCGGAACUGCGUCUGAAACUACUCGACUAGAGUACUGGAGAGGGUAACGGAAUUCACGGUGUAGCAGUGAAAUGCGUAGAUAUCGUGAGGAACACCAGAGGCGAAGGCGGUUACCUGGACAGUUACUGACGCUCAGGCACGAAAGCAUGGGGAGCAAAAGGG
rnacentral:rRNA from 1 species